GGCUUUGCGCAGUGGCAAUAUCGCAACCCAGUGGGGUCUCCCGAGGUGUGAUUAUUGCUAGUUGAAAGCACACCAAUACCCCAUGGGAUGAAGUGAAACAUUCUCUGUUGUCGGCAAUUUUUGACAGCAGCUCCAGCAG